GUAAAUAUGUCUUAAUUUAAUGUUAUUGCACAAUGCACAAAACUGUUCAGAAUCUUUCAGUUUAUAUUAUUCUGGUUAACCUUAUGAAGCAUGUUCUUAAAGGAACAGUGAUUAAUAAGGCACUUAUUUAUGCAGUUAACUCAUAAUUUACAAAAUACAAUUUGUUUAAAACAGUCACUUGAGAAAUAAUUCUAGAAAAAUAACGUGUACAGACAUUUUCACAGACAUUGUUAAUGUAACUGUUACAUAAAUACAGCUUUCUGGCAACAGGUGGUGUGUUUUAGAUAAUAUAUUUAAAAGGUUCAUAUCUAAUGCAUUUUGACAUUCCUUAUAUUUAUCUUUAUGUAAGAGUUAUACUUUUAUUUUAGUGAGAGGGUUAUGUUUGUGUUUAAGCAGACAUUGCAAGCAGGCAAGCACUUAUAGCUUGACAUGGCUGAAGUCAAUACUACCUCACCAAAAUUACAACUAAUGUUUGGCUUAAACCUUGCCUAAUCGCAGUGUUUUUCCCUUUUAUUAUUUCUCUUUUUGUAGGCCCAUCAGAGUGAUUUUCUGAGUUCUUUCACAUAUGCUGUAUGGUCAGCGAAUGGAUGGAUUAUCCAGUCACGGUACAUAAUAAAAGACUUGACUGAGUUAGAAGAAGCUGAGCGACUCUUCAGAGUGAAGAUGUUAUGAUGCAGUUAUGUCAAAGCACUCGUUUCGGCUGGCAAGAUUGGAACAGAACCUGAAUGGGAAGAUGGCAGAGCUAAGACUGGCAAUUUCCAGGAAAAAUGUUUACUAAAAAUGAGUGUGUUUUUCCCCAGCGAGUGAGUUUGGGAAUGUUUUAAAUGUGUCUAGAAGUUUGAAAAUGUAAUACUGAGGGAAAAAAGUGAGCGCUUUGAAAAGGCUUUAAAAAGAAAAAAAAGUCUGAAGUUGAUGUUAAAUGAAGUUAAAGUUUUUACUUGAAAAGUUUGUACUUGUUUGUACUUGUCAAGUCUGUGCUGAAAAAAAUGCAGUAAAGGUUGUAUUUGAAAAGACUUGGAAUUGUGUGUUCUGUAGAAUGAGUACAAAUAUAUGUGCAGGCUGUAUAAAAAAACAUAGUUGUGCCACUAAUAUAAGUGAAAGUACAUGGUGUCAUCAUAUUAGAAGCAUAUUUGU